rnacentral:lncRNA from 1 species
AUGCAGAUAGAAUGUAGGAGUAUAUUCGCAUCGAACGUUACCAUGUGUCGAGCACUCUACUGUCAAGAGUAGCUCGUGAAGGGUAUGGAUAUGUGUCUCUCAAACCUAGAGCACCACGAUGACUUGUAAGCAACUCACUGUACUUUAGUAUCGGACCAUCUGAGUUUGUAAUUUCGUGAUGGAAGGUUACUGGGUGCAGUCAAGUACUUAUCAAGUCGGUGUGUGAGUCAAGAUGGAAUUGACCUCUCUGAAUUAGUAGGGGAUAUGCAUCAGUGUAUUUUAAUUUAGUAAAAUCUUGAUCAGAAUAAUCUAUGAGAUGAAUUUAAAAGGUUGAAAUACAAUAUGGUCGACUAAUUAGGAUUGACAGUUAAACCCUAAGUCACCUUGAGUAUUUGGGUCAAAAGGUUGAAUUAUACGGUAACCAUACACUAGUAGGUUCUAGAAGAUUGCUUUGCAAUACCUCGACCUAUCUGGUCGUUGGGUCACCAUUGCUAGAUGGUUACAUCGAUUGGUAUAAGAAGUUAUUCCUAUGCUACCGGCCUAGGUUCGAACCUAUGAGGUCACAUGCAUUAGUAGAUUUGGUCAGAUCUGAUGGCUGAAAAGUCCAAUUGGAUUGUGACUCUGGUGAUGAGUCCUAUUAGGACUAGGACUCUGGAGGAUAGUCCUACUGAGACUGAGACUCUACUAUUAAUAAAAAAUUAAUUAGUUAUUGACUUAAUUUGAUUGAGUAAAGAGCUUUGGAUCAAGUCUAAUUGAAUUAGAUUCAGUUUGACU